CUUUUAUCCCUGUGGUUUGGUUGCACAAUUCUCCCGAUUUUCCCCAUUCUUUCCAUGGCCUCCUUGGUGAAGUCUCCCAGUGAACCUGCUCUUUCCCCACACUGGGCAAGCAGAUGGGCAAAGCCAAAAGAGGAGCAGCAGUGGCAGUGCAGCUGCUGCUGAGGGUGACUGUCGUGCAGGCUAUGACGUUAAUCAUUUAUUCAGGAGGUCAAAUUUAGAAUGGGAAUAAGGGUUGACUCUCAUUGUCACAUCAUCUGUCAGCUGGAAAAUAUGUUUGGGUCUAAGUACUGGCCAC